AAUAGAUGACGCCAUUGACUUUUUCUCACAUGUUUGACCAUUCGUCUUAUUAGAAAAAUUUACAUAAUUACAAUUUAUUUUGUUAUGAGUUGUUUUAUCACUCAUAGUACUUUAAGUAUGAUUUAUAUCAUAUAUAUUUGCAUAAAAGUUUUGAAUAAGACGAAUGGUCAAACAUGUGACAAAAAAAUCAACGGUGUUAUCUAUU
rfam:Oryza rufipogon genomic scaffold, chr10